CUCACUUCACUGCACGGAACUCAAACGGAGAUAGAAGAUCCAAUGAGGAGACUUCUGUUACUAGUAUGUUGAUACAAGUUAAGUUUGUACAAUUUUCAUUUCUUUUCUUUUAUGUUUUUGGCUAAUUUACACUUUGAUUCUAUGACAGGAAUGUGGUAGACUAUGCAAAUUCUUGGGGGCAGAUUUCCUUCCUUAUCUGAGACUUGUCAUGCCCAUUGCGUUAAAAUCUGCUUUGCUAAAGAACUGUUUGAGUGUUUCCGAUAAUUCAGAUACAGAUGAUUCUGAUUAUAAAAGGUUGGAUCUUUUACCAUAACAACUCGUAUGAAGUUUUAUUUAGAUGGAUGACAUAUGUAUUAGUAUUAUCACUAUUUUAAUGAUGUAGAUGGUUGUGAGUUUUCGUACAAUUGAAUUUCAUUUCAUGUAUUAAGAGUUCCAUACAUGCUCUACCAUAUGAACCUACUAUGUCGAAUUAGAAUGUAAAUAAAGUGAAUCUGUUAAGUGACUUUUGUGUAUCUGCCUGUUUAUUUAGAGACAGCAUCUCUGAGUCAAAGGAAAACAUCUGUUUUUUCCGCGCACUUAAAUAACACAGUUUGAUUCGGUAAAUUUCUAUUACCAACCUUUAGUUGCAGUCUCCCCAAAACAGCCUCUCUACCUUCCAAGGUAAGGGUAAAGUCUGUGUAGGCACUACUCUCUCCAGACCCAACUUGUGGGGAUUACACUUGGUAUAUUGUGUUGUUGUUUUAACCCGAAAUUGCAGGAAAGAAGUGAAAUAAGCAACUUUAAUGGAAUAAGUUUUUUGAGGAUGUCUUCAGCUGACAUAAAUAUCUUCUGUAGCAUGAUUAAAGCCACUGAUGGGAAUAAAAUGAUCGGGAUAAGAGCUGUACUUCUGGAAGAGAAGGCCUUGGCCUGUCAUAUGCUAUGCUUCUUUUCAAAUGAGUUAAAGGAAGGGCUGCAUUUAUGGGUUAAUGAGGUCUGUCUAGAAAAUUACAGGUCAUAGCUAAUCUCAUUUACAAGGCUUACAAAGUAGCAUGCUGAUUUUUACUUAAUUUGUGGUUUAUGCAGGUUGUUAGUGCUUUAGUUCCGAAUCUUACCUAUAAAUUCAGUGAAGAAGUUAGAAUGGCUGCCGUUUCUGGUAAAUUUUCUACAUGUGUCUUCAUCUUAUCAUUCAUUUCCGCAUUAUAAACCAAACCCGAUUGUUUGCUAAAUUGCAUUUAUUCCUUUUUAUAGCAAUGCCGUUACUGUUAAAUUCAGCUUCUUGUGCUAUGAAGAAAGGGCUACUUGUAACAGGUUGUGGCAAGUCCCCAGUUCAAAAGCUAUCUGACACUAUUAUCUCGUCUUUGCUUGAUGCAUUAAAAAAGGUAAUUUACCUAGUGUUGCAGCAAAAGUUUAAUCAAUAUUAAUACGAUCCUUAGGUAGUUGUACUUUUCCUUUAGGAGUCAAAGGUACAAAUUCAAGCAAGAUUAUUGGAGGCGUUCAACAAAAGCAUUCAGGUAAAUAACUCUCUUGUCUUCUGUAUAGCUUAUUUGUCUGUGCACUAAGAAGUACUUAUCACAGGUUCCGGGUUCAUGUCUAAGUAAAAACCAAGCUGCAAAAUUUGUUGAUGGCAUAUCAAAGGUUCUCUCCAGAUGCUCAUACCGCAAAACAGAAAGAGAGAAACGAGCUAAAGAACACACAGGUUCAAGGGAGCAGGAGCUACUUAAGGAAGAAGCUGAGCAACACUUAACUAUAUGUAGAAAUGUUAGCGUUUUACAACAUAGCCUCUAAUAUAUAUAUAUAUACACUUAACAGGACCUUAGACUUACCUUCAUCGGUUUCUUUGUUUUCCUGAAUUCAGAUUGGCAUUUGCCUCGGAACUAUGGUGAAAAAACUAAAGGCAUCAUUCUUGCCAAAUUUUGACAAGUUUUUGCCUUAUGUAUCACUUAUGUAGGUAAGCCACUCUCUCUUUUGAUGUACUAUAUGUAUAAUUCAAUUCAUGACACCUCUUACUGAAGCAUCAAAAGUGAUUAAAUUGAUAUCAACUGCUCGUUAAGCCAGUCUCUCGAGAAAUUCUAUGGGGAACUUCUAUGGUUUCUUUGACCUUAGACAUUUCCUUUUCACCUCUCUACGUACUUCUGUACAGAGUAAUGAUAGAACAGCAGAAGAAAGAAGAAUUGUAGUGCACCUUUUCCGUGAUGUUGCUGAGCAGUGCCGAGAAGAAGCAUUCAGGCACGUCUUGCAAUUUUCAGUGUCUUAUUGAUCAUGAUAAGUUCAGUUGGCUUAGCUGAACGUCUUCUUUAUUUAUCAGGUACUAUGAGGACUGGAUACCUCUCCUUCUUAGAAUUUACAAUCACAAGAAUCCAGAUGUUCAGCAGGUUUUCUAUUUAUUCCUUCUUUUACUAUUUGUUUCCCAAGUAAGUCUUUGGUAUAUCCUUCAAACCUGACGUUCUCUAUCUUUUCAGCUCGUGGCAACUGCAAUUGGUAUUUGUGCUGAAUUCGGAGCAGAUUUCCUUAAGCCUCAUACUAAAGGUAGCUUUGUGCGUUACACUAUGCUUAAGGUAUCUAUUUUCUCCACUAGCAGCAUCUGACUUAGCUGCUUAAUGGUGUUUCCAGGAAUACUCGGUCAUUUAAAAACUGCAAUGGAGAAUCCUAAUGCAACACACCCCGAUAACAUCAUGGCUUACGAGGCUGCUGUUUCUACCUGUGGGAAGUUAAACCAGUUUGUCUCAGAAGGCAUCUCCUAUGAGUACAUCCUGCUCUGGCUUAACCACUUACCAAUAACAUGUGAUCUUGAUGAGGCUAAAAUCAGUCACGAACUGCUUUGUUCAAUGAUGGAGACGUAAGUAUUUCCCGUAGGCUACAGCAAUAAGUAAUCAAUAACUAAUCAGAACUUCAACAUACCUUAUGCAUGCUUGCAACUGUAUCUUGAUCUUUCAGGUCAGAGCAGAAAGUUAUUGGCCCUAACGGAUCUUAUAUACCGAUUAUAAUAGCAAUUUUUGCUGAGGUAGUACCCUUCAUCUUACAUGCACCAAAGAUUUCCUCCAUUUUAUAAGCUUAUCUUCAUUUCUGUUUUCCUCCAGGUUUUAUGGGCAGGGAACAAUUUGGCCACAGAAGAAACUAGGACGCGAAUUAUCAAUCUAUUGAAGAAGUUCAAAAGAGAAGUGGAGCCUCUUGUGUUGUCCAAAAUAUUUCAAACAUUACCUUUAACACAUCAAAACAUGUUACGCAUUGUCUUAUAAACUGUUUGUGCAUUCUUUGAGUAGAUAGAUACAUGUACAGAACGAAAAUAGCUAACUGUAAUACUCGCAGACUCAUACUUGUUGAGUGAGAAAGAUUACUGUAAAGAGUGUGAUUGUAUACAUUGUAAAGCUACUGACUUGCUUAACAUCAUCAAGGCAAACUUCAAAGUUACAUAA